ACCUCACGGCCGAAUUGGCGGCCUACAG
rnacentral:sRNA from 1 species